rnacentral:rRNA from 1 species
UAGUUGCUACGUAUUUUCGGGAGCAUCAGUAACAGAGAGUUCGAUUAUGGCUCAGAUUGAACGCUGGCGGGAUGCUUUACAUGCAAGUCGAACGGCAGCACGGACUUCGGUCUGGUGGCGAGGAAGGAACGGGUGAGUACGUAUCGGAACGUGCCUAGUAGCGGGGAUAACUACGCGAAAGCGUAGCUAAUACCGCAUACGCCCUUCGGGGGAAAGCGGGGACCUUUCGGGCCUCGCACUAUUAGAGCGGCCGAUAUCGGAUUAGCUAGUUGGUGGGGUAACGGCUCACCAAGGCGACGAUCCGUAGCUGGUUUGAGAGGACGACCAGCCACACUGGGACUGAGACACGGCCCAGACUCCUACGGGAGGCAGCAGUGGGGAAUUUGGACAAUGGGGGAAACCCUGAUCCAGCCGUCAUCCGGCGUGCGAUGAAGGCCUUCGGGUUGUAAAGCACUUUUGGCAGGAAAAAGAAACGGCACGGGAGAAUACCCGUGCAACUGAUUUUAAAUCGCAGAACAGCACCGGCUAACUACGUGCCAGCAGCCGCGGUAAUACGUAGGGUGCAAGCGUUAAUCGGAAUUACUGGGCGUAAAGCGUGCGCAGGCGGUUCGGAAAGAAAGAUGUGAAAUCCCAGAGCUUAACUUUGGAACUGCAUUUUUAACUAAUGAGCUAGAGUGUGUCAGAGGGAGGUGGAAUUCCGCGUGUAAUAGGGCAGUGAAAUGCGUAGAUAUGCGGAGGAACACCGAUGGCGAAGGCAGCCUGGGAUACAACACUUCGACGCUCAUGCACGAAAGCGUGGGGAGCAAACAGGAUUAGAUACCCCGGUAGUCCACGCCCUAAACGAUGUCAACUAGCUGUUGGGGCCUUCGGGCCUUGGUAGCGCAGCUAACGCGUGAAGUUGGACCGCCUGGGAGUACGGUCGCAAGAUUAAAACUCAAAGGAAUUGACGGGGACCUGCACAAGCGGUGGAUGAUGUGGAUUAAUUGAUGCAACGCGAAAACCUUACCUACCCUUGACACGUCUGGAAUCCCGAAGAGAUUUGGGAGUGCUCGCAAGAGAACCGGAACACAGGUGCUGCAUGGCUGUCGUCAGCUCGUGUCGUGAGAUGUUGGGUUAAGUCCCGCAACGAGCGCAACCCUUGUCAUUAGUUGCUACGGAAGGGCACCUCUAAUGAGACUGCCGGUGACAAACCGGAGUGAAGGUGGGGAUGACGUCAAGUCCUCAUGGCCCUUAUGGGUAGGGCUUCACACGUCAUACAAUGGUCGGGACAGAGGGUCGCCAACCCGCGAGGGGGAGCCAAUCCUAGAAACCCGAUCGUAGUCCGGAUCGCAGUCUGCAACUCGACUGCGUGAAGUCGGAAUCGCUAGUAAUCGUGAUCAGCAUGUCGCGGUGAAUACGUUCCCGGGUCUUGUACACACCGCCCGUCACACCAUGGGAGUGGGUUUUACCAGAAGUAGUUAGCCUAACCGUAAGGAGGGCGAUUACCACGGUAGGAUUCAUGACUGGGUGAAGUCGUAACAAGGUAG